rnacentral:rRNA from 1 species
AUUGAACGCUGGCGGAAUGCUUUACACAUGCAAGUCGAACGGUAGAGGGGGCAACCCCUCGAGAGUGGCGAACGGGUGAGUAAUAUAUCGGAACGUGCCCAGUCGUGGGGGAUAACGUAGCGAAAGUUACGCUAAUACCGCAUACGAUCUACGGAUGAAAGCGGGGGAUCGCAAGACCUCGCGCGAUUGGAGCGGCCGAUAUCAGAUUAGCUAGUUGGUGGGGUAAAGGCCUACCAAGGCGACGAUCCAUAGCUGGUCUGAGAGGAUGAUCAGCCACACUGGGACUGAGACACGGCCCAGACUCCUACGGGAGGCAGCAGUGGGGAAUAUUGGACAAUGGGCGAAAGCCUGAUCCAGCAAUGCCGCGUGAGUGAUGAAGGCCUUAGGGUUGUAAAGCUCUUUUACCCGAGAUGAUAAUGACAGUAUCGGGAGAAUAAGCUCCGGCUAACUCCGUG